UUAUCUGAAACCGGCGGUGCACACAACGCCCUGCCUGAAAGCCAGGAGUUAAACAUUCACCACCCAUUUCUUGGAAAUCACAUUGGGACCACCAGCCUUUCCCAUAAACCACGUGGUCCAACACCAUGACUGGACCAGACGGACUGCAGACAUGGGGUCUCUAUAUAAAGCCCCCUUUCACUUUCACUGUUACAGCGACUUCACACCACUUUCCUCUCUGCGGCAACACAGCGGCUAAGUCAUGGGAUCUUCAUCAUCAGCUCCAUGUAAGUAAUAAUGCAAACACCUGCCUGACACAGUUCAGACUUAAUGACAUGAUUCUCUUUUUAUUCUGUUUAAUAUACUCCUGAGAACUGAGGAGAAAAAAAAAA